UACGUAGGGUGCGAGCGUUAAUCGGAAUUACUGGGCGUAAAGCGUGCGCAGGCGGUCUGUUAAGACCGAUGUGAAAUCCCCGGGCUUAACCUGGGAACUGCAUUGGUGACUGGCAGGCUUUGAGUGUGGCAGAGGGAGGUAGAAUUCCACGUGUAGCAGUGAAAUGCGUAGAGAUGUGGAGGAAUACCGAUGGCGAAGGCCAGCCUCCUGGGCCAACACUGACGCUCGAUGCACG
rnacentral:rRNA from 1 species